AUAUUUUUAAGGGACGGAGCAAUUAAAGCUAAAAUAUCUUUUAAAAACGAAAAUUGCUUAAAAUAGAAAUAAAACACAAAAGUAAUACCAAUACAGUGGCACCACUGAAUUUGUUUUUUCGUUUUAACAAGCGAUAAUUUGUAGAAAAAUUAUCAAAACUCCACACUAGAAAGUGCGUAUGAAAAAAAAAUAUAAAUAUAAAAAUCGAACUAAAUUUGGGGCAAUAUAAGCGAAAGAGAACAAUUACGUUAAAAUACAUACAUACAUACAUAAGAGAGACAAAGAAACGCAGAUUAAAAUACAAAACGCUACAUUUUGAUUUUCUUAGUUUUGUGUCUGCAUAAAAUUAUUUUAUCAUGACGGGCAGGCGAAAGCGUGGACGCCCACGUCGCGGUGAAGGACCAGCACUUGAUGAUCUUGAUGUAAUGCUUGCACGUGAAUUCCAGCAACGACCAGCCUUCUAUGACCGGACACAUCCCCAAUAUA